AUACGUAGGGGGCGAGCGUUGUCCGGAAUGAUUGGGCGUAAAGGGCGCGUAGGCGGCCCGGUAAGUCUGGAGUGAAAGUCCUGUUUUUAAGAUGGGAAUUGCUUUGGAUACUGUCGGGCUUGAGUGCAGGAGAGGUAAGUGGAAUUCCCAGUGUAGCGGUGAAAUGCGUAGAGAUUGGGAGGAACACCAGUGGCGAAGGCGACUUACUGGACUGUAACUGACGCUGAGGCGCGAAAGUGUGGUGAGCAAACAGGAUUAGAUCCCCAGGUAGUCCACACUGUAAACGAUGAAUGCUAGGUGUAGGGGGUAUCGACCCCGUCUGUGCCGCAGUCAACACAAGAAGCAUUCCGCCUGGGGAGUACGGCCGCAAGGUUGAACCUUAAAGGAAUUGGCGGGG
rnacentral:rRNA from 1 species